GGAGAGAUGGCUCAGGGGUUAAGAGCACUGACUGCUCUUCCAGAGGUCCUGAGUUCAAUUCCCAGCAACCACA
rnacentral:tRNA from 1 species